GGCGGCAGGCCUAACACAUGCAAGUCGAGCGGUAACAUUUCUAGCUUGCUAGAAGAUGACGAGCGGCGGACGGGUGAGUAACGCGUAGAAAUCUACCUAGUAGUGGGGGAUAGCCCAGAGAAAUUUGGAUUAGUACCGCAUACGCCCUACGGGGGAAAGCGGAGGAUCUUCGAACCUCGUGCUAUUAGAUGAGUCUGCGUCGGAUUAGCUUGUUGGUGAGGUAAUGGCUCACCAAGGCGACGAUCCGUAGCUGGUCUGAGAGGAUGACCAGCCACACUGGAACUGAGACACGGUCCAGACUCCUACGGGAGGCAGCAGUGGGGAAUAUUGCACAAUGGGCGCAAGCCUGAUGCAGCCAUGCCGCGUGUGUGAAGAAGGCCUUAGGGUUGUAAAGCACUUUCAGCAGUGAGGAAAGGGGUGUAGUUAAUAGCGCCAUCCUGUGACGUUAACUGCAGAAGAAGGACCGGCUAACUCCGUG
rnacentral:rRNA from 1 species